AUUCAGUUGAUGAGUUCCAAAUAGGAUGAAACGCUCGUCCUGGAU
rfam:Schistosoma curassoni strain Dakar, Senegal genome assembly, scaffold: SCTD_contig0005761